rnacentral:siRNA from 1 species
CUGAGAAUGCCCUUUGCACACUA